AGCGAACGCUGGCGGCAUGCCUAACACAUGCAAGUCGAACGAACCUUUCGGGGUUAGUGGCGGACGGGUGAGUAACACGUGGGAACGUGCCUUUAGGUUCGGAAUAACUCAGGGAAACUUGUGCUAAUACCGAAUGUGCCCUUCGGGGGAAAGAUUUAUCGCCUUUAGAUCGGCCCGCGUCUGAUUAGCUAGUUGGUUGAGGUAAUGGCUCACCAAGGCGACGAUCAGUAGCUGGUCUGAGAGGAUGAUCAGCCACAUUGGGACUGAGACACGGCCCAAACUCCUACGGGAGGCAGCAGUGGGGAAUCUUGCGCAAUGGGCGAAAGCCUGACGCAGCCAUGCCGCGUGAAUGAUGAAGGUCUUAGGAUUGUAAAAUUCUUUCACCGGGGACGAUAAUGACGGUACCCGGAGAAGAAGCCCCGGCUAACUUCGUG
rnacentral:rRNA from 1 species